rnacentral:rRNA from 1 species
GAUGAACGCUGGCGGCGUGCCUAAUACAUGCAAGUCGAGCGAACGGACGAGAAGCUUGCUUCUCUGAUGUUAGCGGCGGACGGGUGAGUAACACGUGGAUAACCUACCUAUAAGACUGGGAUAACUUCGGGAAACCGUAGCUAAUACCGGAUAAUAUUUUGAACCGCAUGGUUCAAAAGUGAAAGACGGUCUUGCUGUCACUUAUAGAUGGAUCCGCGCUGCAUUAGCUAGUUGGUAAGGUAACGGCUUACCAAGGCAACGAUGCAUAGCCGACCUGAGAGGGUGAUCGGCCACACUGGAACUGAGACACGGUCCAGACUCCUACGGGAGGCAGCAGUAGGGAAUCUUCCGCAAUGGGCGAAAGCCUGACGGAGAAACGCCGCGUGAGUGAUGAAGGUCUUCGGAUCGUAAAACGCUGUUAUUAGGGAAGAACAUAUGUGUAAGUAACUGUGCACAUCUUGACGGUACCUAAUCAGAAAGCAACGGCUAACUACGG